rnacentral:rRNA from 1 species
CAGUAGCCGCGGUAAUACGAAGGGUGCAAGCGUUAAUCGGAAUUACUGGGCGUAAAACGUGCGCAGGCGGUUUGUUAAGACAGAUGUGAAAUCCCCGGGCUCAACCUGGGAACCGCAUUUGUGACUGGCAAGCUAGAGUGUGGCAGAGGGGGGUGGAAUUCCGCGUGUAGCAGUGAAAUGCGUAGAUAUGCGGAGGAACAUCAGUGGCGAAGGCGGCCAUCUGGGACAACACUGACGCUGAGGCACGAAAGCGUGGGGAGCAAACAGGAUUAGAGACCCCAGUAGUCCCUGUCUCUUAUAC